UACGAAGGGGGCUAGCGUUGCUCGGAAUCACUGGGCGUAAAGCGCACGUAGGCGGAUCUUUAAGUCAGGGGUGAAAUCCUGAAGCUCAACUCCAGAACUGCCUUUGAUACUGGGGAUCUCGAGUCCGGGAGAGGUGAGUGGAACUGCGAGUGUAGAGGUGAAAUGCGUAGAUAUUGGGAGGAACACCAGUGGCGAAGGCGGCUCACUGGACUGGUACUGACGCUGAUGCGCGAAAGCGUGGGGAGCAAACAGG
rnacentral:rRNA from 1 species